ensembl:lncRNA
CCUGGCGAACUUGCCCCAGCCUCAUGCCUGCUCCUCGGCUCCUUGCGGAGCCUGCUAUCUGUGGGACAAUGCCUGCCUCCGGACCUGAGGGGCUGUGAAGACAUUACGCCCUGUAUUGUCAUUGGUAGUUUCCCUUAAGUGUCAUCAUUAGUCCUUAUGUGCUCACCCUUAAUUACAUUUGGUAUUUAAACCCCUCAUGUGUCGAUGUUCAGUGCAAAGUAUUGCGUGAGUUUUCCGUAUACCAAGCCAUUGUUAUUUGUUUCUGUGCCAUAGUUUUGAACUUUGUUCUUGCCCUCGAUGUUCGAUUCUUGUUUAGUUUAUUUAACGCCUGUUUUUGACCAGCUAUUCUCUCACGUUUUGGAUUUUUAAAAAUUUCUUUAUUUGGAAAUGCAUUGAACAACUGAAGACUCAGGACUGCUCGAAAAUCACAGCUGCAUUACUGUAUGGAACUUAUUUUGUGUGGUUUUUAGUUUUUUUUUUUUUUUGGGGGGGGGGGGUUAUGGAUUUAUAAGUGCAUGCAUGGAGAAUGAGUGAAAUGGAAAUGGGAGAUUUCUACAAACUACACUAUGGAUUCUUACUGGAUGUUCAAUAAGAAGCUUAAAGACCAUGAUAAUAUGUUUAAAGACUUUUUUUGCGAGAACACUUUUAGAAAGCCAGUCGUCAUAUCAAAGGAUGUGCCUAGGUCUUUGCCUACUUUAUCAAUAUUAACCUCUCAUGGCAGCAAUGAGAAGCUGGAAACAUGUCUGGCUGCAGGCUUCUUUCCAAAAGAAGGCGAAGUAUCUCUGUACACAGGUGACAAUGUUACGCCUGAAAAUCACACUGUUGAAAAUGCUGCGAUGUCCGCAGCUGGGACUUAUUACUAUGCUGCAUUUUCCAAAGAUGGAAUUAAAAAAUGUGCAAUGAAAGAUGUUUCCCUUGAUAAAAACGAUGUAAAACCCACAGCACAAAUCCCAUCCUGUGACCAGAACAGCACUCUCGGUAUCAGUACUUCUAAUAAUCUGACCAGUCCAAACAAAAUCAAAAUUUCUGGUGAUCCUAAGGGGAACACCAUGCUUUUGAUUGUGACUGGUCUCAGACUUCUGUUGGCUAAAGCAGUUGGUAUAAAUAUAUUGAUGACAAUUAAAGCGUUUCUUGUCUAAAGUUAGACAAAUCCAGAACCUUCCCUUCAACCUUCUGCCUAAUCUAAUACUGCUGAUAUUCAACUACACAGCAAAACCUCCAGUAAAUUAACAUUUAUGCUGUUUAUAUAAGUCUAGAUGGACAGAAAUGAAAGCUGUAGACAGUUAAUUUCCAAAUUGUAAGUGUUCAUAGGUGUUCACUGACAUUUCCUAAGAAAAUAACAUUUUAUGUUUUUGAAAAGCUUAUUUCCUGCGUUCAAAUUCUUUGGUUUGAUGCAUAAAUUUCGAACUAUGUGGUUAAAAUGUAAAUAUUUCAUUUAGUACAAUUUAUAUUCAUACACUUGUUAAGUUUGAUAAAAAGCAGAUAUUUGAACAAGCAGUCAUUUUCCAUGAUAUUUCUGUAUGAUGUUUAAUUUCAAUAUUCUUUACUUUAACUGUCCUAUUUGCUAUAUUUAUCUUAUAUACAUUCUUAUUGAUAUGUUGUCUAUAUGAAACAGAGUGUGCAUAUGGGGUUAAAAAGAAAUAGUGCAACAUGCAAGUUGUUGCACUAACCACAGGUUUAACAGCAAAUAACCCUGCAAGGCACGAUGUAAACCUCACGCUCAGAUAACAAUCUAGCACACAUUUUAAGAAACGCUGUGUUUCAUCAUUAUGCAUAAUUCUCAAGUGAGCACUUUGUCUGCAAUGAAGAAACAAGCAACAGCAAGUUCAUGCUUAAUUCAAUGCUCAUUCUUUGGCUUCAUGUAUAGCAGAAAUAUAUUGCUGCAAUCUAAUAACCUUCCAUUAAGUUUUAUAUUUGUGUAUGCUUUUAAUGAUUUGGAUCUAGGCAAAAAGAACAAUUGUUUUUAUGAAUCUACUAUGAAUCUAAAUAAAAAGAACAAUCAUGAUGCAUGUGUAUAUGGGCUAUGAUGAAUGGGGAUGAAUAUGUAUUUCUGAAGGAUGGGUAUGUAUGCCUUAAUAUAACAAUAAAAGUGCUCUUUACCAAAA